UCUGGUGACGAUAGCGAAGAGGUCACACCCGUUCCCAUACCGAACACGGAAGUUAAGCUCUUUAGCGCCAAUGGUAGUUGGGACUUUGUCCCUGUGAGAGUAGGACGUUGCCAGGC
rnacentral:rRNA from 3 species